GUUAAACUGAGCCGUUAUUUCAAAAAGAACACAUAACCAUGUAUCCUUCUCUGAUUAACCUUUUUGAUGAAAAAUGCAUGUCAUCCAUUUUUCCUUGUACUGUUCAAUUUGUUAGGCUGUUCUCAGUGUGAUGACUUUGAGCAGCACUGAAUGACCUUAUUAGAGAAACAGUUUCAGCAGUUAAUGAGAUGCUUCUUUCCUCCCUAAUGGUAACCACAUGUAUUGUUUUAUUUAUUUGUUUUCAAAUAGGUUUUGCCUGGCAUUCUGCAGAAGCAUUGCUGUAUCUUACCAGACAGGAAUACAGGAGCUUGACACUUAUGAACAAAAGUUUUGGAGCUUAAUCUCAGCUGGAAAGGAGCAGGUGGUCACAGUGGGAAGACUUUUCUUCCUGAGUUCAAAUCUGACCUCAGACACUUACUAGCUGUGUGACCCAUGGCAAGUCACUCAACCCUGUUUACCUCAGUUUCCUCAACUGUAAAAUGAGCCAGAGAAGGAAAUGGCAAACAUUACAUUAUUUCUUCCUCCAAACCCUCAAAUUAUGUCAUGAAGAAACCAGACCUGACUGAAAAAUUAAAGAAUAGCAAUAACUCAGCUGAAAAAGAAUUUUGUGAGUACAGGGCAAGUGAAAGAUUGUUCUCAGCUAAAAUCUUCCCUUCAUGUACAAAUGGUAUAUGCAGUGGAGAGAAUUCAGGACUUGAGUAAGGAAGAUCUGUGUUAGAAACUUGCCUCAGAAACUUAUGAACUAUUUUCUUACGAGUAUUUCCCUAGACAAGUAACUGAAAUUUUCCUACCCUUACUUUCCUCAUCUAUAAAAUGGAGAUGAAGAAUAUCUUUGUGAGAAUCAAAUAAACAGACAUACAUAAAAACA
rnacentral:lncRNA from 1 species